rnacentral:lncRNA from 1 species
UGUUGGCAUUGUUUGGUGAAUAAACAAAAGAAUAUCAGCCUGGUACCUGGCUCAAUUUGCUGCUUGCUCAUCCUAAUAGAAACAACCUUGCAAAGCCCAAACAAUGACGUGCCACUUGAUCAUACGGCAGCAGCAUUACUUCCUUCUUUAACCAGUUUUGCUCUUUGAGACAAUGGCAGAGAUCAAGAGAGACUUUUCUCUGUUUAUUCACUGCAGAAAUCAAUACUGAUAUAUCCACAGCGGGUUUGGGUAGGAUCUCGGGGACCAGGAGCUGCUCUGUGGGGUUCUGCUCUGUGGUUGGGAAUUGCAUCACUGUGGCACAGAAAGGCUGAACCCCAUCCUCCAACCCAAAUGGGGACACCUGCAGCACUCGGAACCCCCCCCCCCCAUUUAUGUCUGUCUGCUGCAUGGGGUGAGAAAAAUCCUGAAGGAGUCGUGGGGAGGUUGCCAUGAUCUUGAGGACCAGCAGAGCAGGGAGAGGUGAGCUGGGAAGGAGACCUGCACGUCAUUGUCACCUGCUUCCACUGUGACAGCACGGUGACAAACGGCGCCGUGACAUUCCCUUGCACUGCCCUGACAACCCAUCAGCAAGGUGCAAACAGCAAAGUGUUGCGUGAUAAGGGGCCUGGCAUAACGGCUCGGGAGAAGUGCAGACCUGUGCCGGCAUCAGGAUUGUUCACACACUGAUCAUUGCUGCUACGAACAAGAGGAUCCCAGUCCCCAGUCUGCUCUCCAUGCUGCCGAGACCAAUGUCUCAUCCCACCCUUCAACUGCAUGGGGUGGGAACAGGGCAUGGGAUGUCCCAUGUCUUCACCAGUGCUUCUUGCAUGAAGAUGCCACCUGCCGCCUGUCAAUGUGGAGCACAACCCUUUGUGUAGCAAGUCCAAUAAACAAGACCGUAAAGCAUCUGUCCUGCAACUGGAUCCCAGCCCAUGACAAAGAGCGAAUCUGAUCCAUGACAAACAGCUGGGAAGAGCACUCAAAGCUCACACUGUACUUCACAGCCCGUCUGCAGUUUCCUACCAAAGCCAAACACAACUUCUGCUCAGUGCCACAAUAAAGGAGGGGAGGGGGAAGAAAAAGGUGAAAUA